GAUGUGCUGGAGAUGGCCAGGGGCAGCAGCGCAGGCCGGGGAGGGCCUAGCUAGGGAGCACAGUCCUCACUGUGCUCGGGGCUCUUCUGAGUGUGGGCAUGGGCAGUGUGCGCUAAAGGCAUGGAGGACAAACUCCAGAAAAAAGCUUGGGAAUGAAAGGCUCCUGGAGAGGCCGGGAGGAAACUGGCUCCCCAAACUUCUGCAAGCCCAUCUCGGGGGCCAUCCCUACUGGCAGGGUGAAUGAAACAAGCAGGUGUCAAGGUGCUGGUUUCCUCUCUCGGCAGGGAGCCCACCCAAGGGCCGGCCAAAGCUCGGGCCCCUUCCCUCCAAACCUAGAUGCCUGCCACCUGGACAACGCCGUGCACCAGGGAAAGUCCCAGGAGCCAUGUUACACAUGCUUGGUGCUUCAAACUGAGUUAUCAAUGUUUUUCUGGAUGCAAAGCCAUCGGAUGCUUGAUGCGGAUGCCUUAAAUACUAUAAUAGUUCUGAGUCUAUGACCUAUGAGCUAAGGAAAAAACAAGGACAAUUCCAGAAAUGGCCAAGAAUACUUAAAAAGAUGAACAUGAGACACACUGCUACACCCUCGAGCCAGGGCCUACAAGUCACCGUAAAGUGAACACCUGCGAGCAAGAGCCAAGCAGGCACCGACGUGGAAAACGAGGUCACUGUAUGGGACUGACUGAUGCCCAUCUCCCUGCCUGGUGCG